GCCUCGCAAGCAUUGCGGUGAUGCUCCGGACUCUUAAUCCGGAGAGCAAGGUUCGAUUCCUUGGUGGGGCA
rnacentral:tRNA from 1 species